rnacentral:lncRNA from 1 species
UCAAGUUGACACAAAACUAGCCGGUACAAUAUCCAUACAUGCAUGUGACUUAUUUUGAUCAAAUCUAUUUUCCAUUCUUUACCUUUCAAUUCUUACCCUAUUUCUACCACCUCUUUCUACUCACAACUUAAUGUGCUCAUUUUUUCUCCCAGCACCCACUGAGUCCAUUUAGUGCUGUCUGUAUACACAUGGCUGUAGGGCAAUCUCCUGGAUCAUGGGUAGCCUUUCUGAAUCCCUGAAGAAAACUGACUCUUCUGCCCCCAGCAACCAUUAGUUGCCAAUACCUCUUCAGGUAGGGGGUGAAAAUUCGUGAGCUCCUCCCCAUCCAUUCUGAGUUACUUCAAGUUUGUCAGGGAUUUAGCUGCCUGAGUUAGGAAUGUAUCAGACAACAUUUCCAUUCCAAGGAGAGAAAGUUGUUACUGGUAAGUCUCUCCAAUCCUUGCUCCAGUUUUAUGGGUGAUGUGCUCUAAUAAGACUGUAUUACCCCUUCCAUAUCCAUUUAUGCCCUUUCUCUGCAGUUACACUGUCUGUACAGCAGCCUAGAUGUCAUUCAAAUCCAAGAAAAGCUGAAGGAAGCAGUCUUUUCAGCCAUUCUGGAAGUGCUUAUUCUCCUUUGAUUUAAACCAGCCCCUGCACUUACUCGGUUUCCUUUUCUCUGAAAACUACAAGAUGUAAAAAUACUAAGUAUAUUUCAAGAAUUUUUGCUCAAAGUCUGGAUUUUGUAGUUUUGUGAGACUCUAUGUAAAACUAGGUUGUGUGUCAGUGUAUAAUGAUAUUAACUCCCGAGUGUCCUAGUCAAAAAUGAAGUUGAAGCAUUAGCAAACUGUAAUAGUUUUAAUUGAUUGGAUUGUUUAUAACACAUUGCUUUUUAUUUUAUUCAGUGAUAAGAAAAUGUAAUUAUUCAGCUAGAAUAGUUUCCCAGUUUUGUUCACAGUAAGGAAGGUCUAAAGGCUAAAUUAUUUAUGAGGGAAAAAAACACCACUCCUUGUAUUGUUUCUUACCAACUGACGACCAUUGAUCGAGAAAUGAACUCCCCAAGUGAGAUAUCAAAUGACUUUAAAGAUCUAUGGGGUUGAGAUGAGGAAGUUUGAUGAAAUCUUAACAUCGAGUGAUGAAAUACUUAUGAGUUACGUUAAGCUAUAGACUGUGACUGUGGACUUAAUUGAUUCUUGCCUAAGACAUUUGUGAACCCCCACAAAAAAAGUGUUUAGGAUAUGCUGAGAAUCAAGAAUUGUCAGGGAAUAAGAGCAAUGAAAAAUAAAACAUUCUCCUAGCUUGCUGUCUACUAAGGGACACACAAGUAGAUGAAUCCUAUGAAUGGUGAAUAACAGCCAUAUUAAUUCAGGGAGCUCCGGUUUAACAGGAAAUAAAACAAAUUCAGGUUUAUGUUUUUGUUUUGUUUUCAAAUUCAGGUUUGUUUGUUUGUUUGUUUGUUUGUUGAGUAAAAAAAUACGUUAUAAGCCAAAGGAAUUUCUGUGUACCAGAAGUAAUCUAGACAUUGACUAUUUUGAGACACAAUUAGAUUAAUCUGCAUUUUAUUACUUUUACAUGAAUAUACUGGCUAGAACCUUGAUUUGUUUUGAAAGCUCUCAGUAGCUGAGUGUUUUUGACCAUGCUAUAAAAUGCCUUCUGAAUGCAAGAAUGCUCCUUGGAUUUGAAGUGGUUUUCAUUCCACCUUGCACUUUCAGUAUUACCAGGAAAUGUAUGAGUUCAGGAUAAAGGCUUGAAAUAUGAAGGUCCUUCAGAGCUUGUUUUUGUUCUUAAAUAUAAUUUGUGGAAAGUUUUCAAGAAGGAGAAAACACUAUCUUAAGCCUAAAUUUAAAACUUAACAUUUUUUUUUACAUAUGUAUUCGACUUGGAAAAAUUUUUCUAGAGCUCAGAGUUUUAAAAUUACAAAAAUUUGCACUUUAUCUAAGUUGCUGAGGUUCCUCUUCCAAAUCUCAAAUCCAUGAGAUUAGAAAGUAUAUACUCUGAGAAGUUUACAACUUGCAGGGAUUCGGGCUUUGAAUGAUCUGUCAGAGCUGAUUUUAUACAGUUCGUGCUCAUUGCAGUUACCCAAAAUGGCACACAUUUAUAAGAGAUGGAUGUCACAGAUAGAGCUUUGAGAUUUCUCACUGCCCCUCCCCCAACCCCCAUGCUUAAUCCAGUAGAAAGAUGGAAGUUGAAAAUUUCAGUAGCUUUACAGUAAGAGCUUAACACACCAAGAGAAAUUUAAGUUUGUUAAGACCUGGUUCUGAUGAUUCUCUGGUAAUGUAUCAGUUUUUAAUAUUUAUUUUCUGUCCUUUUUUUAGAGGCUUAAAAUAAAAAACAAAAACAUUAUCGGUAAAGUUUGUGAGACAAGAUAUUUCAAGACAUUGUCCCUCCCACCCCCAUGUCUGUAUACUAUUAACUGCUAUUACUAACUUGUGGGCUCAUGUCCCAUCAACUCCUUCCCUGUCUCAGGGAAGGCUAAACAGGCUAAAAUUUGAAUUUUCAAUCCCAUUUUCCUCUCCCUCUCCGUCUCCCUUCCUCCUUUUCUCCUUUCCUCCCUCCCCAUCUCCCUAUAUCUCUCUCUCUCUGUCUCUCUCCCUCUGCUGCUUUCAAACCUCCAGUACUUCCGAGUGCAAGUUCAGCUUUCAGUUUUAUAGUCUUUUCAUCCCUGCCCCCUUUUUGUCAGAGUCCUCCACAUGGUACUUCCUACCACAUACACUGAGCAGAACAGAUUAAUGACCUCGUUUAAAAAUGCUAGUUUUCUAUUCACAGUUGAACAUAGCUGAAAGUGCAUGUAUAUAUUGUCAAGUUGUCUUUAUGUUUAUGCUUUAUAUCAACAGGCAAACUAUGGACACGAAGUAUGAAGGUUGCUUACAACAUUCUACAUAAACUAGGUACAAAGCAAGAACCUAUGGUACGGCCUGGAGACAGGGUAAGUGAGGUUCAAAUAACUAGAAAACCUCUAUGUUAUGAUUCCAGAACUCAGUCUGUUCUUCCUCCUUGGUAGAGUAAGGUUGGACAUAACAUGCAAGUAAGCAUUUUUUAUGACCAUCUGAUUGGAGAGUUUUCUGUGUUCUGCUGUUUUGAAUCAGCUUCCUCAGACAUUGUGGCCCAUGUUGUGGGAAGGAAAUCAUGUGGUAGUAGUCACCUGGGAGUAUUACAAACUUAUAACUGUCUCUUGUUUCUGCAUGAGCCUACCCACCUGAAAUUGUGCUAACAACACACACUGCCUUAUGAAGGCAGAUUCACAUGAGACGUGGUCUCAAAAAUUAGUUUUUGUUAAUAUGCUUACACAUACAAAUAUAUCCUCUUACUCUCUUUCCAACUUGUUCUUGCUGGUUUUCUUUUAAGCUAUGUAGAAAAGAAAUCAUGUAUUCCAGAACUUAAUCUUUCUCCAGCACCUUUCCUGUCUUACAAAAUACCCAGCAUGGCUAAAUUUAAGAUACAGCUCCUGGCUUCAAAACUACUACCAGUAUCCUUUUAUGCUAGCCUAUUUAUCUUGGAUAUUAAAUAUGCUAGACUACCUUAUCUAAAUGUUCUUACCAAAAUUAAUAAGGCUACUUAAAACAUUUUUAAAGAAUCCAUUUGAAACUCAAAAAGUACAAAAAUGAUGCAUAUUUGCUAAACCUUUGGAUUUCUGUGCCUGUGAAAAUACACCCACAAGGUUUGUAAAGAGUUGACACCAUAGGUGCAGCAACGUGUUAGAGGGGCUUAUGUGAAAAUAAAAGCUGCAUCCUGAAGAACACAGUAGGAAUCCUAUUAACCAACCAACCAACCAACCAACCAAAGAACUCUUAUCAUACAGGAAACUUUGUAAAACCCCAGUGAGUUGGCAAUACCAUUUGAGAGAGCACUAGGAUAGGUUAAAUAUUAAAUUGGCUGUGUUGCAAACAGUCAUGUAGCGCAUACUGAUGUUCAGAGAGUUUGCAUGUAGGAUGGCCAUCCCAGAAGAUACUGCUUAGUGAAGUGUCAUAGCCAUUCUAGUUUGCCUGAGUACAGUCUCUAUACUUUAAUUAUUAUAACCCACCUAACACAUUUCUCCUAAUUUAUAUCUACACCAAAACUGUCUCAAUUCUUUAAAAAAGCAUGGAGAAAUUGGCUCAAAUAUUUAUUACCUUUGAAUAUAAAGGAAACACAUUUAAAACAUGAAAUAUAUACC